AGUUCAAUCAUUAGGGGCCUGUUCUCAAUUUUCCUUACAACGCCUCUAGCACUGGGCAAUUGCCACCAUCUUGAAAAGCAGUGCCGCGGAUGGCUAUCGCAUCGCCACUACGCAUGAGAACACGAUGGCUGCCCUGCGCUGCAUUGAUAGUUCGUAAUAAAUUCACAUAAAAACACACCAGAAUAUCUCCGAUUUUAUUUACAAAGAUCAUAUUUUGUUAUUUAUUGAUAAAACAAGCCAUUUUACCACAGCAGGUGACACAUUAGGCCUGAAUAAGACUUUAGAAUUUGAAGUGGUGGUGACGAUGCCGAUAUCCAAGAUGGCGGAAUUAUACCAGUGGUCAAAUCUCAUCUAUUUUGGGUAAUUGCAUCAUUAUUUCUUUUUGUGAUUGGUGAUUUGUAAAAUUGAGAAUGAUUGAAAAAUCAGUAUUUUUUCACCCAAAGGCAUGAGUGAACAUUUGAUAAGUUUAUUGUGAUUUAAUUGGUAAUUUGGUCGACAUUUUGACAAUUAUAUUUAGCAAUAUUUCGAUAAAUGCGGACCUGCUUCUUCCUCUUUUCGUAGUGACGGUGUUUCGAUAACUCAGGUCAGUUUCACGGCAAAAAUAAGUGGUAGUUUUGAAAUUCGAAUGUGCAUUUAUUGAUGUAACGAUAAAGUACAUUUCCGAGAAUAAUUAGUGAAAGUUUCAGUAGGUGUCGAUUUUUGUAAAGUAGUGUAUAGGCGAUGGAUUGGCUCAGCCAUGUGCUCGUCGUGUCAGCGGGGCGCAAGCCGUCAUGGGGGAUGUAGGCUACACUACAAUGCACGUGAUUGAUGGUUGAACAUUCACUCUCGUUGACAGUGUAUUAUUGAAAUAUUUGAUUGUGAUGAUGGUGUAUUGUACUAGGCCUUGCAUGCUCCCAACGUGUGGCAUAUUUCACAUUGAUACUACCAGUAUCAAUUACAAAAAAAUAGAUUGUGAGUAACAAUAGGCCUACAAUACAAUCAAUCAAUGCUACAUGUCAUGAGGGUGGGAACGGGGAAGGGGGGGUAACUGUCUCGACGUCCCGUUAGGAAAAAAGGCUUAUCCCGUUUCCCAAUAUGCAAUUUUAGCUGAAUCGUGACGCAAAACACGGCUUGUCUCGAAUCCCGCUAAAAUAAGGGUGUCUAUCCCGAAUCCCGACAGUUAUUUUCGGCCCAUCCCAGUGUCCCGAAAAUACCCGUUCUCCCCCUCAUAAAUAGUAGACCAUAUUGUCACAUUGAUGUUUUCUUUCAUUAAUACAGUUAGACUUCGAGAUCUACAUUUUCGACAAAGGCCUGGUGUAAAUUACGUACUUAAUGAAGCAACAUUCAAUAGAUUUAUUUACUGUAUUAUCAUUUCGACCAAGGCGAAUUCGACACUUCAAUUACACAAGCACAAUCAAACUUAGUCAUUCCAGUCAGUUACUGAAGCACAGCGAAAACUGUCUGAAUUAGUGCUGCUGAUGGCAUGUAAUUACUCUACUACCACUACCAGUGACAGUCAAUGUCCAUAUAUUUUCAAGUGUGCGAAAUUAGUACUCGUCUACUUCUUAGUGUUAUUUGAAUGCAAUGUAUGUUAUAAAAAUAUUUUUUCAACACUAUAUCAACAUUCUCAUUCCUGUCAGUUUCUGAAAAUCAGCUAAAGCAAUCGCUACCAAUGCAGCUGAUAACAGCAAUUCUUUUUGUUCCCAA